GAAAAAGUGUUGUCUUUCUGUUAAAUUUUUUAAUUUAGUGUUUUAUUAUUUAAAAUAUUUUAUAUUAAUUAUUUUAUUUUGAUUGAAUAUUAAAUUAAGUUAUACUUUCUUUUCUUAAAUUUUUUGUUAAAAAAUAGAUGAAGUUAAAUAAAAGAUCCAAUUGCCACUAUUUAGUACACUUAUGGAUUUAAUUGCAAAGAAAAAGAAAACUCAAGGAUUAAACUACAUAACUUAGGGGAAAUAGUAGUAAAAAUCCAUUUUUUUUUAUUAUUUCAUUUAUCAAUCUCUCAAACCUAUCUAACCUCUCGACUCUCUCCUAGCCAUUUUUUCUUCCAGAUGUUUAAAACUAAAAGCUCGACGAAGACGACGACGGGGCUCGGCGACGUGAGAGCUUGACAAUCUGUCUCGCUGCUUUCGUCCUUGCAAGUCCGACGGUGUUCGGGGGUUGAGGCUGGGUGAACGAUAGUGCACGAGGUUAGGAUAGUGCUCAUUCAACCCCUCGUUAGCGACAGUGGUACUGGAAUCGUGAAGGUUAGCAAUUCAAAUUUCGACAUCGUCUGCGGUCACACGGGUUCAGAAGUUGGGAAAUCGGUUGCUUGGGUUCAGAGAUUGGGUUAAGAGAUUAAGUUCAGAGAUUGGGAAUGGUGAAGAUGGGAUACAAGCAUAUUGAUUUAUCUCCAAUUUAUGGGAUGGUCAAAUUCUUCUCUUGUGCACUGCUCAAUUCUGUCCAUUGAGUCUUUGAAGAGUAAAAGAAGUCUCAAUCUGAAAGUUACAAAACUAAGGAUUGGGAUUCAAUCAACAAGAUUGUAAGGCGUAUUCGUGUCAAAAGUUGAAGUUAUAUAUUAGUUAUUAUAAUUGUUCUUUAUUCAUUUUGAUGUUUAUUUUUUGUUUCUGGAUAAUUUGAUGUGUUAAAUAUGAGUAUGAUUUGUAUAUGUAAGUUUGAUUUCAGGCAAUCAAUAAAGAUGUAUUCUUAGAGUUA